GCUCCGAGAUAGCUCAGUUGGUUUGAGCGUGGCACUGAUAACGCCAAGUUCACAGGUUUGAUCCCUGCAUGGGGCA